rnacentral:rRNA from 1 species
UAGCGGAGAAAUUCCAAUCGAACCCGGAGAUAGCUGGUUCUCUCCGAAAUAGCUUUAGGGCUAGCCUUGAAAUAGAUUACUGGAGGUAAAGCACUGAAUUGGCUAGGGGCCGAAAGGUUACUGAACCUUAUCAAACUCAGAAUGCCAGAUAAUCGUUUUUCAGGAGUCAGACGGUGGGAGAUAAGUUUCAUCGUCAAAAGGGAAACAGCCCAGACCCACAGCUAAGGUCCCAAAUUAUAGUUAAGUGGAGAAGGAUGUGGGAUUGCAUAGACAACCAGGAUGUUGGCUUAGAAGCAGCCACUCAUUAAAAGAGUGCGUAAUAGCUCACUGGUCGAGUGAUCCCGCGCCGAAAAUUUAACGGGGCUAAACUAUAAACCGAAGCUUGGGAUACCGCAAGGUAUGGUAGGAGAGCGUCAUGUAAGGGGUGAAGUCAUAGCGAAAGCGGUGGUGGACUUUACAUGAGUGAGAAUGCCGGAAUGAGUAGCGAGAAUUAAGUGAGAAUCUUAAUGGCCGAAAGUCUAAGGUUUUUGGAGGAAGGUUCGUCCGCUCCAAGUAAGUCGGGAGCUAAGGCGAGGCCGAAAGGCGUAGUCGAUGCACAUACGGUUGAUAUUCCGUAACCACUGACAACUUAAACAAAAUGACACUUUAGAAGGGCUUGACCCGGGUGCUGGUAAUCCCGGGCGUAAGGGACCGAAAUUUAGUAGGGAAGCAAGCUUGGAUGGAGGCGAGAAAAGUUUUGUGUAUGUAAUGUUGGUGCCCGUACCGCAAACCGACACAGGUGGACAGGAAGAGAAUUCUAAGGCCAGCGGGAGAAGGGUAGUUAAGGAACUCGGCAAAUUGACUCCGUAACUUCGGGAAAAGGAGUGCUCUCGAGAGAGAGCCGCAGUGAAUAGGCCCAGGCGACUGUUUAGCAAAAACACAGGUCUCUGCCAAAUCGAAAGAUGAAGUAUAGGGGCUGACACCUGCCCGGUGCUGGAAGGUUAAGAGGAGGAGUGAGAGCUCCGAAUUGAAGCCCCAGUAAACGGCGGCCGUAACUAUAACGGUCCUAAGGUAGCGAAAUUCCUUGUCGGGUAAGUUCCGACCCGCACGAAUGGUGUAACGAUCUGGGCACUGUCUCAACUACCCGCCCGGCGAAAUUGUAGUACCGGUGAAGAUGCCGGUUACCUGCGACAAGACGGAAAGACCCCAUGGAGCUUUACUGUAGCUUGAUAUUGGGUUUCGGUAAUUUAUGUACAGGAUAUGUGGGAGACUGGGAAGUUAUGGCGCCAGCCAUAAUGGAGUCGAUGUUGGGAUACCACACUUAGAUUGCUGGAAUUCUAACCUGUGGCCAUGAAACUGGUCAGGGGACAUUGUCAGGUGGGCAGUUUGACUGGGGCGGUCGCCUCCGAAAGAGUAACGGAGGCGCUCAAAGGUUGGCUCAGCACGGACGGAAACCGUGCAUUAGAGUGUAAACGCGUAAGCCAGCCUAACUGCGAGGGUGACGGCCCGAGCAGUAACGAAAGUUGGAGUUAGUGAUCCGGCGGUAUGUGAAUGGAAAUGCCGUCGCUCAACGGAUAAAAGCUACCCUGGGGAUAACAGGCUGAUCUCCCCCAAGAGU